AUUGUCGUAACAAGGUAGCCGUAGGAGAACCUGCGGCUGGAUCACCUCCUUUCUAAGGAAUAAUACGGAAGCCCUGCACUGAGACAAAACUUUGUUUAGUUUUGAGAGGUCUACUCUCAAACUGGUUCUUUGAAAACUAGAUAAUAUCAAUUUUCUUUUAUUAAUUAAUAAUUUCAUUAAUUAAGCCGAGAACACCGCGUUAUUUUGAGCUUUUUAUUAGUAGUUAAACUACUUCGCAUAUACUCAAUUAACUGAAAUCACGUUAGUGAUUUAGGUUAAGUUAACAAGGGCGCAUG
rnacentral:misc_RNA from 1 species